UACGUAGGGGGCAAGCGUUGUCCGGAUUUAUUGGGCGUAAAGAGCGUGUAGGCGCCAGGUAGGUCGGUUGUGAAAACUGGAGGCUCAACCUCCAGACGUCGACCGAAACCAUCUGGCUAGAGUCCGGAAGAGGAGAGUGGAAUUCCUGGUGUAGCGGUGAAAUGCGCAGAUAUCAGGAAGAACACCCGUGGCGAAGGCGGUUCUCUGGGACGGUACUGACGCUGAGACGCGAAAGCGUGGGGAGCGAACAGG
rnacentral:rRNA from 1 species